rnacentral:rRNA from 1 species
AACGUAGGAGACAAACGUUAUCCGGAGUUAUUGGGCGUAAAGAGCUCGUAGGCGGUCCGUCACGUCCGCUGUGAAAACCCAGGGCUCAACCCUGGGCUUGCAGUGGAUACGGGCAGACUAGAGGUAGGUAGGGGAGAAUGGAAUUCCCGGUGUAGCGGUGAAAUGCGCAGAUAUCGGGAGGAACACCGGUGGCGAAGGCGGUUCUCUGAGCCUUACCUGACGCUGAGGAGCGAAAGCGUGGGGAGCGAACAGG